UAGAGUUUGAUCCUGGCUCAGGACGAACGCUGGCGGCGUGCUUAACACAUGCAAGUCGAGCGGAGAGGCCCUUCGGGGUACUCGAGCGGCGAACGGGUGAGUAACACGUGAGUAACCUGCCCCCGACUCUGGGAUAAGCCCGGGAAACUGGGUCUAAUACCGGAUACGACCACUUCCCGCAUGGGAUGGUGGUGGAAAGUUUUUCGGUUGGGGAUGGACCUGCGGCGCAUUAGCUAGUUGGUGAGGUAACGGCCUACCAAGGCGACGACGGGUAGCCGGCCUGAGAGGGCGACCGGCCACACUGGGACUGAGACACGGCCCAGACUCCUACGGGAGGCAGCAGUGGGGAAUAUUGCGCAAUGGGCGAAAGCCUGACGCAGCGACGCCGCGUGGGGGAUGACGGCCUUCGGGUUGUAAACCUCUUUCAGCAGGGACGAAGUUGACGUGUACCUGCAGAAGAAGCGCCGGCUAACUACGUGCCAGCAGCCGCGGUAAUACGUAGGGCGCAAGCGUUGUCCGGAAUUAUUGGGCGUAAAGAGCUCGUAGGUGGCUUGUCACGUCGGGUGUGAAAGCUUGGGGCUUAACUCCAGGUCUGCAUUCGAUACGGGCUGGCUAGAGGUAGGUAGGGGAGAACG
rnacentral:rRNA from 1 species